rnacentral:rRNA from 1 species
UACGGAGGGUGCAAACGUUGCUCGGAAUCAUUGGGCGUAAAGCGCACGUAGGCAGUCUUGCAAGUCGGGUGUGAAAUCCCUCGGCUUAACCAAGGAAGUGCACUCGAAACUGCAAGACUUGAGUACUGGAGAGGAUCGCGGAAUUCUCGGUGUAGAGGUGAAAUUCGUAGAUAUCGGGAGGAACACCAGUGGCGAAGGCGGCGAUCUGGUCAGAUACUGACGCUGAGGUGCGAAAGCGUGGGGAGCAAACAGG